AAUUAUAAUAAUACAGAUAUUGUAAGGUAUAAUUACUAAACAGCAGUGAGAGACUAGUGUUCUAUCCUUACACACACAAACACAAGAACAUGUUAAGUAGCAGUCCACGUAAGAAUCAUGCAAAAUGAAAAAUAAGUGGCACAGCUAUAAAUUUAAAAUCUCUUGAAAAAUUGUUGAUUUUGAAGAAAAUCAUGUUUUGUACUUAAUCCAAUAAAAAAAAUCACUUUGAAUCCUUCUUAAGAUUUUUAAUCGGCUGAAAGGAUAUUCGGUUUCAAAAAUAUUUUCCCGUUGUUUUCUUUAUAAAGAGCACUAAUGAAAAUGGUCACAAAAAUUAUUUAUCGGACACUCUGUCAUUAAAGAUUAAUAGAUACAUAAAGUCAAUAGUAUGGACAGUAAAAGAAAUAACAAACAUCAUUUGGAAACAUGUUUACAAAUUAGUUACAGAUUUUUAAAAACUACGUACGAUCUAGCAGAUUGACGAUUUUAUUAUCUCCAUUUGCUAACUCUUUAGUGUUAAAGAUACGAUUGUUUGGGGAAACAUGACAACAUGUCAUACGAGUUGGCGGUUUGAAGACAGACGAUGCCGUUUUGUAACAUUUCUUUAUGGACAAAUACUCCAUGUGAAGAAGUUUCAAAGACAAUUUAUGUGAAUGACUAUAAGAAAUCGGUAGCUAGAUAUUUAUGCUCCUUAAACAAAUCACAUUGCGAGAAACCAAUGACGCAAGGCCCGGCUGCGUCUGUGUCUAUUUUCACAAUCACAUGUUGGAAUUUUUCGGUUAUUUCAUAUCAUCAGAGUUCUUUGGAGUGGAUGAGGAAUACUACAUGUGUUUUCCCAGAUCACUCGGUCAGUUGUAUUGGAUAUACGAACCGGAUAUGGGCACAUAUCAUUAACAUUUGGGAUGAGCAACAUGCUUGUGGAAAAAUGCUAUGGCCAGUAUGGGUGGCGGUGCAGUAUACAAGGAAUCUAUUCACUGAAAUUCGAAGAAGAUUCCAUGACUUGCUUGCCAUACAACCAAACAACAGAUUAUGGACGUGAUUCCUAGAAUUAGAACUUGAAUGGGUCAGACUUGAAUACAUGCAAAGUCAUGUAGCAAUAUUAAAGGUGUUGUACUUCAGGAAAAUGAGAAGCGUAUUUGUUGGAAGAUGGAUAAAGAAAAAUUGGAGCAUGCACUAGACUUCUUUAAAUCCUGCUUUUUUAUCAGGUAACAUCAUUGAGUACAAAAGAAAUGUACCUUCACAGCAGACAACUUAUAACAUUUUGACAAGAAAUUGGGACUGCCUGCCAUUCAACCAUUGUACAUAUAUGAAUUUACCAGUCCUGUUGUGAAGAAACUUAUUUCAUCCUCUUUCAAGGGCCAUGUUAUUUAGGAUUUUAACUACUUGUCCUGCAUCACAAGCUUAAAAAGACUUCAUAAUCUGGCUGCAGAUGGAACUGCAUGGUUUGAAAUCCUCAUAGGAAUUCUGAGAAGCAUGGAGGCCUAUUAACCAGAUAAUGAGAUUGUUAUGAGAUUGAUCACUGUCCGUUAUCUUCACCUUGAAUAAUGACAAGAUUUCAUAGCUUGAGGAGUACCAGGAAAAUUUACUUGCAGCAAAAAUGUACAUAAAGAGAGACUCACUCAAGCAUGAAUGUGGAAUAAUUAUAAAGAUGCAGUAGAGAGAGAGAGAGAGAGAGAGAGAGAGAGAGAGAGAGAGAGAGAGAAUUAUAUGGUGAUAUAAUUAAACUCAUUGUCUUCAAUGGGUAUGUCAUGUCAGUAGAGAAUCAUGAUUCAUAUGGUGAUAUUUUUCAAUUAUAUACUCGUUUCAGUGCAAUGGCAUUGUACAAAUAAAUAUUUUAAGUGUUGUUAGGGAAAGUGGUUGCUAUGGUGAUAUGUGUAAACAUAUUGUCUUCCAUGGGUCCGACAUGUCAGUAAAUAAUUACAUGUUGAUAUAUUUGUAUUAUAUUCUCAUUUGAAGGCAAUUGGAAUUGUACAGUUUGAAAUGUUUGCUUGUUGCUAGGGAAAAUUGGUUGCUAUGGUGAUAUAGUUAAACCUGAUGUCUUCAUUGGAUUCAACAUAUCAGUAGAAAAUCAUAUAUUGGUAUA